CAAAUAUGUGCCGGUGAGCAGAGCAUGUGCUGGAAUGGAACUCAGGAUACUUGCUCACUGGUAACUGCAGGGACAUGCAUGUAGAAACAGAUGCCCGAAUUCUUCCACCGUAUCUGGAGGCUAGCAGAGGCAAACCAUGCUGAGAGCUCAUUUUGAAUGACUAUUUAAACUUGAAAGGUGGCAGAGAAAGGAAUCCAGCAGCCCUGGCUGUCCUGGAGCUCGCUGUGUCGACCAGACGAGCCUGCAACUCACCGAGAUACGCUUGCCUCUGCCUCUCAAAAGCUGAGACUAAAGAUGUGUGUCACCACACCUGGGUAUAUAUAGAAAAACAGUAGAGCCAGUGACACUCCUGUCUGCCUUCUCUGUCAUACAAGCUGACUGCAUUUGUGACUUUUCCCAUGACUGUGACAAAAUAUCUCCUAAAAGCUAUUUACAGAAAGGGGAGCUGAUUUUGAUUCGCAGUUUAAGGACACAACCCAUCGCGGUGGGGAAGACAUGGCCACAGGACCAUCAGGUCCCACAGCAUCCACAGUCAGGAAGCAGAGAGAGGUGAAUGCUGGUGCUCAGCUCACUCUCUCCUUUUUAUUCAGUCCAGGCCCCCAGCCUGCAGAAUGGCACUGCCCACAUUCAGGGCAAGUUUUCCCACCUCGAUUAACCCAAUCUGCAAACUCCCUUAUAGGCAUGCC